AUUCUCAUCUUCCAGAAAGCUAAGAUCUCACCUUUUAAAAAUUUAAGUUCUUACUCUCUAAUUUCCAUUUUUGCUAACUCAAUGGCAUUUUUAAGCAACACCAACAUCAAGAACGAAAUCAAUUACUGGGGGGCAAGAACAACUGACAAACCUUGAGAACCCCCUUGUGACAAUCGGGUGUAAGCAUGGGAGAAGUUCGGCGCAUUCACAGAACAAUCAGCAGCUGAAUGACCUCAACAACCAAUAGUUUGACGACAGGCACCUUGGAGUAAGGCCGCCCCUGCAGGUCGAGCCCUUUGUGGCUCCUGCGGGAGUUGAUGAUCAACCGGUAAAGCAGCUCUACCAACCUCAUUUCAGCCCGGACGAGCCUCAUUAGCCUUUUUCGCGAGGUCUCCCCUACAGGUUGAACCCUUCGCGGCUUCCGCGGGAGUUAGCGGCUUACAGACUGUGCGGACGCCCUUGCUGGUCGAGCCUUUCAAGUCUCCCGCUCAAGUUGGCGACCUACAGCUAAUUGAGCUGCCCCUGCAGGUCGAGCUCCCUGUGGCUUCUCGUAGGAGUUGGCGACCAGCGUCUCCGAAGGCUGAUGCAGUGCAACCGUAGCAUCAACUUAUCAUCUAACGUCGAAAGUAAUGACAAAACCUACAAACUGAACAGAAAUGAAUAACCAGCCCGAACGAGCCUCAACGAUCUGACCCGAACUACCUCUAGCCUGAACUGCGAAGCCUCACUAUAGAUCGAGCUUUUAUGGCCCCCCUGAGAGUUGGAAGCGAGCUGAAAGUGGAACCACCCUCAUAGGUCGAGCCCCUUAUGGUUCUCGUGAAAGUAGGCGAUCCGUAGACAGCAGAGCUAACCCCUCAGGGUGAGCCUCCCAUGACUCCAAUAGGAGCAGGCGGUCAACAGUUCUAAGAGCAGUACGCCAUGAUCUUGCAAGCACCUUCCCGAAUAAGCCAAUCUCAAGUGACGAUGUAGGAGUUGCCACAUCUAAAGUUACAACAGAAUGACCACCUGCUUAAGCGAACAGGUCAGGCCGCACGUCGGCUAAAUAAAUGGAGAGUGGACUAUGAGUCGCUCCCAGAGCCUAAGGGCUAAGGUGCCGAGCUGAUAAAAGACCUCAGCACUACAUAAGACCCAGUCGCCCCUUUGGCAUGGGUAAGAUCAAGGAUAAGGAGAGUGGACCACAAGUCGCUCCUAGAGCCAAGGGCUACGACACCAAACGAAAAGUGACCUCGGCGUUAAACACGAAUAAGACCCAGUCGCCUCUUCAGCAUGGGAGAAAUAAAAAGCAGUUUGCAUUCAGCACGAGAAAGAGAACAAAGGAAAAUCUAGUUCACUCUCAGCAUCAUGACAGAUGCAAACUUGGCCGAUCUCUUCACCUCGGUUUCAGGCUCCAUGUCGAAAUCACUGGCUACUCUUUUGAGAACUAGAUCGAGUGACACUGCGUCGAAGUCUACCUAAGUGGAGCGACCUGAUAAAGUAGUCACAUAGAACCCCUUCAUGAGGGCGACAUGAUGAGCUUCGCUCUUGAGGUAAUAGGUCGGAUUGCAGAACCCCUUGAUGGUUGCAUCCCUAAUAAGGUAGAUGUCCUUGGGGUACCUGUUUCACCUCUCCUCGAGCGGAUGAGUUCGCUCUCGUGCCCCGAAAAUCAAGACGGAGAGGUCCUGCGUAAGGCUGCAAACACUUGGACUCUUCCGACUUGAGAAGCAAAUUGGGUCGACGCCAAUAACUAUGAGCUCAUCAAACAAUCAUUCCAGGCCAAAAGGAGCAAUCUCUCCCUUCGCUGAGUUGCCCUCAGCUCAAGAGUGGGGGGCAAUUGAUGAGGGCAAAUUUGGCCCUCCAGUAACAUCGUGACACAUGGCAUCUUGGAAUUGUUGGAUGACACAUAAACACCACCUAAGCGAUGAUUUGGAGUCCCAGAUCGUGGUUCGUCUUCGCUCUGACUUGUUGACCUCGGCCACAACUUAGGUCGGUUAGGAGCACCUCAUCCAGGGCCGACCUGUAGCACCUCGUCAUUGGCUGAAGUGACCUUGGCGCGAGGAGCGACCUCCCUCAAGGGUUUGUCGGCCUAACUAAGGUCUAGGUGGCGACCUGUGAGAUAUGCCCGUCGACAAAUUCGGUAUGCAUAUCCCGACACUCCCAAGUUUCUCGGGAGUUGGCCCACGUACCGAGUGUUCCAGAGAAUGGUCAACGUGCGUGGCAGUUACCUUUGAGGAUUUCGAACCAGUUAGGCACGACCUCCCGGAAAUCUCGGAUGUGGUGCGUGAAGCCCACACCAAACAAUACCUAUAUAAAGGCACCAACCCCAAUGACACAGGGGAAAAGGUAUGCGCGAUUAAGUGCAUUCUAGCUCUCAUACUUUCUAAUUUAUAGCUCACAAUCACUAAAAGAGUACUAACUUAAGCAUCAGAGCGACCUUGCCGGGUUAGCCACCACGGGUCCUCUAACAUUGAUUCCUUGCAGGUUUCUCUGAAAAAGCUACACAGCUCGACAAUCAAUCUAGCUCGGUACUCGAUCAACCCCCUAGUCUGCCAAGUCAACUCGGCAUCCAAGCCUUCAUCUAGCAAAAAUCAUACAGCUCGGCUUCUGAGUCAUCAGCCAUCAGGAAGUAGCCAAAUGACCAGAGAGCAGUCAGAUCGCACAUCAUCAGUCAGCAUCCGAGUAGCCAGCAAGCGGGGUGCUGCCAAAAUACGCUUCAUCAGGGCACUUACUUAGAUUAGAUAUUAUACUUUCACCAUUCACCAUAUAAUGCUCCUCAAUUAGAGGAGGGGGGCAGUAAUUUCAUCCUAGGAGUUGAGGUGGUUGAUUGAAAUUCAGACAAGGAUUGGGCAAUAUACAUAGAACUUGUUGAAUGGGCCACUCAAUAAGGUACCUAAGGACUAUGACUGUCUCCAAGAAAUCGUAUCUUCUUUCCUCAUCGAGCAAAUUAUAGUUUUGCAGUCUUCCUCAACUCCACAUUCCACCACCAUUUCAUGCUCAUCAAAUUUAACCCCUGAAUCAAGGCAUGUAAUUCAGCCUUGGAGAAUUUCAACAUCAAUGGGGUCAGAAAAAUUGAAUUUGAGAUUCCCCUAAUCCCUGAAGCUUCCGGAUUCCCUAGGGUCCAUCAAAAUUAAAUAUGAGAUUCCCCUAUUUCUAGUGCAUUCCAACUAAUGUCCUUUGUUAUUUCAUAUUCAUAUGCUGCCAUUGGAGAGUUGAGUUCAAAUAUCAUUUUACUGAGACUACCAUUUCUCCAUCUAACCUUUCCCUUUGUCCCCCAAAACCACUCCAUUAUUCUCUUGGAUACAUCUUUCCUAUACAUGGAUCAAAUUCAACUUGGAUGGAACUCUACAGGCACAUAGCCCUACCUGCUGAAGGCUUUUCUCAUAUGGAAUUACAGAUAUCUGCUAGCUAGAGGGGAAUGCUUCCUUGGUUAUCCAAUUAAUACUCAAUAUAACAGGUCAGAAAUUUAUUACACGAGCAAAAUCUCCAGUGUUACCAAUUCCUACAAUUCCUUUUGUUAUUACUUCAUCAGGUACUUCAUUUGUAAGUGAUGAUGGAUUCGAAAUACUAAUUGAUGGAUGAAUACAAUUCUCUUUCAAGAGAGGAGAAGGAUAACACUUUGAUUCAGCAUUCAUGGUCAAAAGUAUAGAGAGUGAAAGGGGAAGCUGGGGUAAGGGGCAGAAAUAAAGGAAAAAAAAAAAAGAAAUUGAAUCCUCCUCAAACAUGCUACUGACAAAGCCAGGUGCAUACAAACUGAGACUAGCUAGGAGAAUUUGGUAAAUACAUGGAGCGAUAGAAGCCCAUGACAAGGUAAGCGUGGGGAUUGGACUGCCGAUGAGUAUUAACUAUGGAUAUGGAUAUAGGGUCUUCUGGUGAAAACUGAAGAGGCGAAGUAGCCUGGUUGUUUCGUAUAGAUAAUUAAUGAAAUCCCACAACGUUGACUUGGAGAAGACCUACAAAGCUAAGUCAUAUAACGAGGAACAUUAUAUCUAUAUGCGUGAAAGAAAGAGAGAAAGAAAGAAAGAAAGAAAGAAAGAGAGAGAGGCAGGCCAUGGAUCCUCUCUAUCGGUAAAGCUGUAGCCUUUUUAACUGCUCGACGUCGAAGGUGGUGGAGAGGCAGCAUGGAGAGAGGAAAUUGUCGACGACGCUGGUGACUGGUGAGGAGGAAGAGACUCUACCCUCGACUGUGUUUAAACACACAGAUGCGUUACGAAGAUCAAAUGAUCAACCAUUCGUCAAGCUAUUCAUUUUGGUUGUUCUGAAGGGCGGUGGCGCGGUGGCAUUUCUUUAGAAUGCAAUUCUGUGAUUGUCCGGCCGGCAAGCACUCAGGUAAACAUAUUCUUGUGGUAAAGUAGUAGCUUUAUAUAUAUAAAUGGAAAACGCUGAAGCUUGUGUCUGGGGACACAAGACAGUACAGUUUCUGGGCCCACAACUUGCCAUCUGUCCCAUGUUUCGAGCACAAGGGCCCCUUAGAGCCUCAAACAAAAAGACUUUCCCAUAACCAAAAUACUAGUUGAUGACCCCUGCUCGGUACAGAAAGCAUAUAUUUUGUUUGAGACCCAUUACGAAGAGUGAUGAGUUCUAAUUUUUA